GCCCUUAGAGUUUGAUCCUGGCUCAGGAUGAACGCUGGCGGUAUGCUUUACACAUGCAAGUCGUACGAGAGUUUUUAACUCAAGUGGCGGACGGGUGAGUAACACGUAAGAAUUUGCCUUUAGGAGGGGGAUAACAACUGGAAACGGUUGCUAAUACCCCAUAUGCUUUCGAGUAAAAUGGAUUUUCCGCCUAAAGAGAAGCUUGCGGCUGAUUAGCUUGUUGGUGAGGUAAUGGCUCACCAAGGCGACGAUCAGUAUCUGGUUUGAGAGGACGAUCAGACACACUGGAACUGAGACACGGUCCAGACUCCUACGGGAGGCAGCAGUGGGGAAUUUUCCGCAAUGGGCGAAAGCCUGACGGAGCAAUACCGCGUGAGGGAUGACGGCCUAUGGGUUGUAAACCUCUUUUUUCAGGGAGGAAUCAAUGACGUGUACCUGAAGAAUAAGCAUCGGCUAACUCCGUGCCAGCAGCCGCGGUAAGACGGAGGAUGCAAGUGUUAUCCGGAAUCACUGGGCGUAAAGCGUCUGUAGGUGGUCAAAUAAGUCAACUGUUAAAUCUUGAGGCUCAACCUCAAAAUCGCAGUCGAAACUAUUCGACUAGAGUAUAGUAGGGGUAAAGGGAAUUUCCAGUGGAGCGGUGAAAUGCGUAGAGAUUGGAAAGAACACCGAUGGCGAAGGCACUUUACUGGGCUAUUACUAACACUGAGAGACGAAAGCUAGGGUAGCAAAUGGGAUUAGAUACCCCAGUAGUCCUAGCCGUAAACAAUGGAUACUAGAUGUUGAACAGAUCGACCUGUGCAGUAUCAAAGCUAACGCGUUAAGUAUCCCGCCUGGGAAGUAUGCUCGCAAGAGUGAAACUCAAAUGAAUUGACGGGGAAGGGC
rnacentral:rRNA from 1 species